rnacentral:lncRNA from 1 species
AUUUUUCCUAGCUUCAUUCUUACUGGAUGGCACAGAGGACUUUGUUGGUUAGUCCUAGGGGUGGGAAAGUGGAUGGAUUGGAUGGAUAUGAAUUUGGAUUCUAAUGGAUGGAUCAAAAAAGGUUCAUUAGUCCAUUACAAUCCACUAUUAUUUUUUCUUAAAAAAAACCAUCCAGUCCAUCCAAUUAGAAUAAAGUCCAU